UUGGCCCUGAAUCAAGACCAGUGGUUUGCUGUAGCUGUUGGUUUCAAACAGGUGCCAAGACUAAUGUGUUUCUGUGGCCUGUUAGCCAUUCAGCAUCUCAGUGGGAAUGGCUCGUUCAAUCAGAAGAACAUAG
ensembl:snoRNA